UUCUUCGUCGUAUAACGGUUAGUAUGCUCGCUUGUCACGCGGGAGACCGGGGUUCGAUUCCCCGCGAGGAAG